rnacentral:tRNA from 1 species
CGGGGAGUGGCGCAGCUUGGUAGCGCACCUGCUUUGGGAGCAGGGGGUCGCUGGUUCGAAUCCAGUCUCCCCGACCA